UACGUAGGGUGCGAGCGUUAAUCGGAAUUACUGGGCGUAAAGUGUGCGCAGGCGGCCGAGCAAGUCGAGUGUGAAAGCCCCGAGCUUAACUUGGGAACUGCGCUCGAAACUACUUGGCUGGAGUGUGGCAGAGGAAGGUGGAAUUCCACGUGUAGCGGUGAAAUGCGUAGAGAUGUGGAGGAACACCGAUGGCGAAGGCAGCCUUCUGGGCCAACACAUGACGCUCAUGCACGAAAGCGUGGGGAGCAAACAGG
rnacentral:rRNA from 1 species